GAUGAACGCUGGCGGCGUGCCUAAUACAUGCAAGUCGAGCGAACAGACGAGGAGUUUGCUCCUCUGACGUUAGCGGCGGACGGGUGAGUAACACGUGGAUAACCUACCUAUAAGACUGGGAUAACUUCGGGAAACCGGAGCUAAUACCGGAUAAUAUAUUGAACCGCAUGGUUCAAUAGUGAAAGACGGUUUUGCUGUCACUUAUAGAUGGAUCCGCGCCGCAUUAGCUAGUUGGUAAGGUAACGGCUUACCAAGGCAACGAUGCGUAGCCGACCUGAGAGGGUGAUCGGCCACACUGGAACUGAGACACGGUCCAGACUCCUACGGGAGGCAGCAGUAGGGAAUCUUCCGCAAUGGGCGAAAGCCUGACGGAGCAACGCCGCGUGAGUGAUGAAGGUCUUCGGAUCGUAAAACUCUGUUAUUAGGGAAGAGCAAAUGUGUAAGUAACUAUGCACGUCUUGACGGUACCUAAUCAGAAAGCCACGGCUAACUACGUG
rnacentral:rRNA from 1 species